CUCAACAUAUUAUAAUAUUAAUUCUGAAUUAUGUGGGAUUAACUCCAGAAAUCGUUAUUUAUAUGACGAACAUGAUGUGCUUUUAUUUUGAAAUGUUCACCGGAGGUACGUUCGCUAAACCGCUAACCGAAAGCUUUACACUCCGUAAAAAAACUUUCUUCGUCAUUGCUUGUGGUGUCACUAAUAGAUUUAAUUUUUAGCAAAUGCUGUUAACCAGCUGUUGAGUGUUAUUGUAUGACUGAUUGGAACUGUACUGCAAUGUUUCGCCACAGGGUGUGCUGUCGUGUAUUUUAUGUUCGGUGUGAAGAAGAAGAAGAAAGUUAAAAGAGGCAUCAGCGGCCUCCGGCCUAUUCUCAACUUCUCCCUCACUGCACUUCUCAUGGAGAGCACGUGUUCGAAAUAAACGAUAGCCGACGUGCAAAGUAGCAAGUGAGCUGUAAAAAUAGCGAGCUUAGUGGGGUGAAAAACGCAGGAGAGCUAAGUGAAGCUAACGAACAGCUAAGCGAUGCUAAACGGAGCUAGGCGAAGCUAAACGGCGCUAAAUGAAGCUAAGCGACUGAUACUCAGUCCGUCGUCGUGGAACAGUCCAUUGUAGUGCGUGUUUGUGUGGGGGAGAUAAUAUAAAUGCAGCAUUCAAAUGGCUUUCUUUUUUGUUUUGUUAUUUGUUUGUUGGGUAUGCUGACAUAAUUAUACAUGACGAAUAGUUGGGGUUGCUGCUGGCUCCGGUGGCCCAAGCCCUUGCUUGUUGGGGGCACGGGCAGCUGGUUGGGGGCCCCCUACUGGUUGGGGGUCUAGGGCGGUCACCUACUUCACCUGAAUAGAAGAUCCGCCCAUGGGGGCAGGUGUAGCACUGGCCUCAUGUCUCUUGACGUUUCCAUGUCCAUGGCCGCGGCCCUCCGGCGUCAACAGUACUACCGGUGUUCUGCCAAAAUAACCUACAUCGGCGAAACGUCGAAUUUGACACCUAAAGUACUACCGUGCGCUCUAAACUUGUUUUGUUUAGAUGCAUACAGGAAUAAGGUACUAAAAAAAUGCCUGCAGAAAAUACUUAAAUGUAGUUAAAUCAAAUAAGGACGGUUUAAACACGCUACGUGACUAAUGUGGUCAACUGCUUCAAAGCUAACACAAAAAAACAAUGGGUAAAAGUAUGAGAGGGUAAUACAUGCAAAAAGUAUCUUUGAUGCUGUGAAAAGAUUCUAAAUAACUAAAUAAAAACAAUAGUGAGUAAUCGCCGCCUCUAACCGAUGUGCGCAUGCGUGUGAAUGCAUGCGCAAGCGCCCUGAGCAUUGUGUAGACGUUUUGCCGCGUGGUAAGGAAUGGCCGAACACCGGUAGCUAGGAUCGGGCCGGAAGUCACUCGUGUAAAAAUACGGUGGAUCCGGUUGAUUCUAAUAUGCAAUCGUAACCUACUUUUUGAGUCCAUCAGAUCUCUUGAGUGGUACAUCGGGGCACAGUUGACUUGUCUUUGUUGAUUUACUGCUGUCUUCUCGAGAGGAGUCUGGCUGCAGCCCGCCUCUCUCAGUACCCUGCGCCGCUCUUCUCAGUACCCAUCCCGCAGACAGGAAAUGAUGCAAUACCGCCGCUCUCAGUCCCCUCAGACCGGAAUUCUCGUCAACCCUUGCGACGAAAACAAGUUACGUUAUUUCACCUCUCGCGAAGAAAACACGGUAAGUGGCCGCACUGAAAAAAAGUUUUUAAAAGCGUAUGCAUGUUUAAAAAUGUUAAAUAGUUAAACAACACUUGCGGUGAAAAUAUGAAGUGUUUAUUCUGAGUUGAAAAGACCGUACUUAUAUCUAGUAUUCUUAAUGUAAUUUAAAUAAUGUAUUCCUUUACUAACUGCAUGUGGCUUUGCUCUACUUAUAUUGUUUAAUACGUACUGAUGAAUUCAGCAGCGAAUUGGCUAAUGCUGCUAAUGCUUUUUACAUUUUUUUUUUCACAAUGAACAGUCUUCUUUGUGUAGUUUUCAUUAUAUUGCACUCUUAUUUUUCAUUAUGUACAUGCCUGCAAUUCGCAGCUCGCUGUUUUUGUUGUUGUAUGGUGUUGUUGUUUUGCCUUCAUUUGUUUUGUCUGGUCCUUUGUCGUUUGAAUGUUGUCACAUGAUCCAAAUAGGACAAGGUUGUAAUUUUUUCUUGAUAUUGUUACUCUGCUUAGCUAUAUAUUUUUUCAUUAUUUUGUUUUUUUUUACUAGCUCCAAGAUCACCACCCCACUGGGAAGAAACUAAAUCACGACCCCCAAAUGGUAGUCUUCCCAUGCAGAUACAGGGAUGUCACACAGAUCCAAAUGGAAACAUCGAACACAGUAAAACCCACGUGGCAGACAGGACCAAUGGUGACAAUAUAAGACCAUGCCGAGCUUCAUGGACGGUUCAAACUCAUCCUGCCCAGGAACGGCUGAAAACGUUGACAGUCAAUCAACAGGGGGACAUGGAAAGAGAGGAUUGGAAGUGAAAUAGAGGGUUUUCCGGGACAGCCAUAGGGGAAGGACUGUGGCAUCUUCAUGUUGAUGGUAGACUGAUAUGCCAACUCUGAGGAAGUGGUGGUGUAUAUUGCUAGCGGACAAUUUCAAACUUGGGUGCAUGCCACAGGAAAGAGUUUGCCCAUUGGACAGAUGAGGCAAAAGCAUUACUGCAGGGUGAAGUGCCACCAGUCUAUCAGUUACAGAAGAGAAAUUUGAAUAUAAUUGGAAGAGGUGCAACCACAGCUCCUUCAAGUUAGUGGUGGCCCACUCCAAAAAGAUAUGGCGGGAAAAAAUGUUUUGGUAAAAGGAUUGUGCAAGACAGCACAAAAGCCUCGGACAGGGCUAGGGGGAAAAAAAAAAUCAAUGCAGUAGGAGUUCCCAAGCAUCCUGCAGAUGGAAGAGGAUGAGCACGAACUACAAUGUCUUGGAGCCAUUCAAGUUCUGUUUCAACCAUCUGGAAGAUGGAUUUACCUUUUUUGAGGAGAUUGUUGACUAAAGAAAAGAUCUAUUCUCUCAAUAAUAAUAAAAAAUAAUAAAACUAAAAAAAUAAAGUUUACCACAUCAGAACUGGUUGU